rnacentral:rRNA from 1 species
ACGCUCGACACCUACGGGAGGCAGCAGUGGGGAAUAUUGCACAAUGGGGGAAACCCUGAUGCAGCGACGCCGCGUGAGCGAAGAAGUAUUUCGGUAUGUAAAGCUCUAUCAGCAGGGAAGAAGAAAGACGGUACCUGACUAAGAAGCCCCGGCUAACUACGUGCCACAGCCGCGGUAAUCUGAGCGGGCUGGCAAGGC